AAACAGGUUAAUAUUCCUGUACUUGGUGUUACUGCGAAGGGGGGACGGAGAAGGCUAUGUUAGCCGGGCGACGGUUGUCCCGGUUUAAGCAUGUAGGCGGAGGUUCCAGGUAAAUCCGGUACCUUUUUAACGCUGAGGUGUGAUGACGAGGCACUACGGUGCUGAAGUAACAAAUGCCCUGCUUCCAGGAAAAGCCUCUAAGCAUCAGGUAACACGAAAUCGUACCCCAAACCGACACAGGUGGUCAGGUAGAGAAUACCAAGGCGCUUGAGAGAACUCGGGUGAAGGAACUAGGCAAAAUGGUGCCGUAACUUCGGGAGAAGGCACGCUGAUAUGUAGGUG
rnacentral:rRNA from 1 species